GAUGAACGCUAGCGGCAGGCUUAACACAUGCAAGUCGAGGGGUAUAGUUCUUCGGAGCUAGAGACCGGCGCACGGGUGCGUAACGCGUAUGCAAUCUACCUUUUGCAGAGGGAUAGCCCAGAGAAAUUUGGAUUAAUACCUCAUAGUAUGUGAGAAUGGCAUCAUUUUCACAUUAAAGUCACAACGGCAAAAGAUGAGCAUGCGUCCCAUUAGCUUGUUGGUAAGGUAACGGCUUACCAAGGCAACGAUGGGUAGGGGUCCUGAGAGGGAGAUCCCCCACACUGGUACUGAGACACGGACCAGACUCCUACGGGAGGCAGCAGUGAGGAAUAUUGGACAAUGGGCGCAAGCCUGAUCCAGCCGUGCCGCGUGCAGGAUGACGGUCCUAUGGAUUGUAAACUGCUUUUGUACAGGAAGAAACACUGGUUCGUGAACCAGCUUGACGGUACCGUAAGAAUAAGGAUCGGCUAACUCCGUGCCAGCCGCCGCAGUAAAAC
rnacentral:rRNA from 1 species